UACGUAGGGUGCGAGCGUUGUCCGGAAUUAUUGGGCGUAAAGAGCUCGUAGGCGGUGUGUCGCGUCGGCCGUGAAAACCUGCAGCUUAACUGUGGGCGUGCGGUCGAUACGGGCAUCACUGGAGUUCGGCAGGGGAGACUGGAAUUCCUGGUGUAGCGGUGAAAUGCGCAGAUAUCAGGAAGAACACCCGUGGCGAAGGCGGUUCUCUGGGACGGUACUGACGCUGAGACGCGAAAGCGUGGGGAGCGAACAGG
rnacentral:rRNA from 1 species